rnacentral:rRNA from 1 species
UGAAUACGAGACGCUACGGCGUCGAAGCAGUCGAUGUCAUACUUCCAAGAAAAGCUUGCAAUGUCAUAAACAAAUAAUGCCUGUACCAUAACCGACACAGGUGGGUAGGUAGAGUAUACUAAGGGGCGCGAGAUAACUCUCUCUAAGGAACUCGGCAAAAUGACUCCGUAACUUCGGGAGAAGGAGUGCCUUAUUUAUAAGGUUGCAAUAACAAGAUCCAAGCAACUGUUUAUCAAAAACACAGGUCUCCGCUAAGUCGUAAGACGAUGUAUGGGGGCUGACGCCUGCCCAGUGCCAGAAGGUUAAAGAAGUUGGUUAGCAUCCGCGAAGCUGAUAACUGAAGCCCUGGUGAACGGCGGCCGUAACUAUAACGGUCCUAAGGUAGCGAAAUUCCUUGUCGGGUAAGUUCCGACCCGCACGAAAGGCGUAAUGAUUUGGAUACUGUCUCGGAGAGGGACUCGGUGAAAUAGACUUGUCUGUGAAGAUGCGGACUACCUGCACCUGGACAGAAAGGCCCUAUGAAGCUUUACUGUAACUUGAAAUUGAAAUUGGACUUUAUUUGCGCAGUAUAGGUGGGAGGCGUUGAGAAUAUUCUUGCGGGAAUAUUGGAGCCAUCAGUGAGAUACCACUCUUGUAAUGUUAGAUUUCUAACUUUGCAUCAUUAUCUGGUCAAAGAACAGUUUCAGGCGGGCAGUUUGACUGGGGCGGUCGCCUCCCAAACGGUAACGGAGGCGUACAAUGGUUUCCUCUGAACGGGUAGAAAUCGUAUCUAGAGUGUAAAGGCAUAAGGAAGCUUGACUGUGAGACCUACAAGUCGAGCAGGGACGAAAGUCGGUCUUAGUGAUCUGACGGUGCCGAGUGGAAAGGCCGUCACUCAACGGAUAAAAGUUACUCUAAGGAUAACAGGCUGAUCUCCCCCAAGAGUUCACAUCGACGGGGAGGUUUGGCACCUCGAUGUCGGCUCAUCGCAUCCUGGGGCGGUAGUACGUCCCAAGGGUUGGGCUGUUCGCCCAUGAAAGCGGUACGCGAGCUGGGUUCAGAACGUCGUGAGACAGUUCGGUCCAUAUCCGGUGUAGGCGUUAGAAUAUUGAGAGGAGCCUUCUUUAGUACGAGAGGACCGAGAAGGACAUACCUCUGGUGUACCAGUUAUCGUGCCAACGGUAAACGCUGGGUAGCUAUGUAUGGAGAGGAUAACCGCUGAGAGCAUCUAAGUGGGAAGCCCACCUCAAGAUAAG